rnacentral:lncRNA from 1 species
CUAAUAAUUCACAAGAACACUGCCAAAUGGAUAUCAUGAUCCUCCUCUUAUGGAUGAAGAGACAGGUUCCAAGGGCAUAUGCCAUACCUUUCUUAGUUGCAGAGCCAGUUCUCAAAUCUACAUCUGCCUUGCAUCAAAGUUACUGGUAUGAAAGUUAUUGAUCAUCAGUUGCUUGGCAUCAAAGGAAAUUCCAACAGAGUGACAUGUGCUAAACAGGGGCAAACAAAAUUUAAGAGCACACAGGAGGAGCCUAAUCCAGUCACUGGAGUUUCAGCACAUGAGAACAAAAGUACGCCCUUUGAAAAAGUAGCAGUAGAUCAAAAGCACAGAGAUGCUGCUGCAUUUACUUUUACUUCAGGUUUUCUGUAGUGCUUCCACAGCAAGAUGGACGCUGUUUAAAGUAUUGCCAAUGGAAGCUACACUCUGAAUGGAAACAUAUAGGAAGGUGUAAAAAAGCUUUAAGAGACAACUGACAUGCAAUAAACUGUACAUAUUCAAAAAUGUAUAAUUUGAAUGUUUUGACACAUAAACAAUUGUGAAACCAGUACUACAAUCAAGAUAAUAAACACUCAUCACCUCUGAAA